rnacentral:rRNA from 1 species
UGAGGAAUAUUGGGCAAUGCCCGCAAGGGUGACCCAGCAACGCCGCGUGGAGGAUGAAUGUCGUAAGAUUGUAAACUCCUGUUAGAGGGGAAGAAUAGUACCGGUUGGACCGGUAUAUGACUGUACCCUCAGAGAAAGCCCCGGCUAACUACGUGCCAGCAGCCGCGGUAAUACGUAGGGGGCAAGCGUUGUCCGGAUUUACUGGGUGUAAAGGGCGCGCAGGCGGGAUAAAAAGUCAGUGGUGAAAUCCUACAGCUUAACUGUAGAACUGCCUUUGAUACUUUUAUUCUUGAGUUCGGGAGAGAGAGACGGAAUUCCAGGUGUAGUGGUGAUAUACGUAGAUAUCUGGAAGAACACCAGUUGCGAAGGCGGUCUCUUGGUCCGACACUGACGCUGAGGCGCGAAAGCGUGGGGAGCAAACA